AUUCUCCCAUCCCAAGCGGUUUUUAUCAAAGAAUUGCUAGGCGAUGGGGUUGAGAUGGGCGUUAUUAUAACUGCUUUUCUUCUCUAGAAAAAGCUCGCCCGAAAAACAGCUAACGCCUCUGGGCCACUUUGCAUCCGCUUCUCUGAGGGGAGAAGCGGCCAAGCGCGCUCUGAUCAUCAGGCAUAGCAUGAUACGUCAUUUGCUAUGCUGUAGGAGAGCCUUUGGAUCCUGUGCGUGCGAGAUGAGUCCUUCACCGAGGGGCAAUUCCAACGA
rnacentral:misc_RNA from 1 species